CUGCUGCUGCCCAUUACUGGAACCCGCGUUGUUGUACACUUGUUUACAGUCUAUAAACACUGCUUCUCUUCAACUAAACACCGGUGUUCUGCCGUGGUGAGUUCCUGAAACUUUCUGGACAUUUCAGAGUUUGCAUUAGAUAAAUACACAUCCAUUUGCGUCGGAGUAUAGCUGAACUUAGUUAUGUGAACUAACAUCCAUGCAUGUGUCUUUGUUUACUACUAUGUCGCCAUAUAUUAUGAAUGAAUAUAGUGUACAUUCGUUUUUCGAUGGCUUUCCUGCCCGAGUUAUAUGUGCAGUUAAUUUAAGCCAGUUAGUCAUGUGAUGCACCACCAUUUAUUUAUGUUUGGAUAUAAUAUUAGAAGGCUACCAUUUUGACUGUCAUGCAUGAUGAGUGUGAUGUGAAAAAAUUAAAAGUUAACGAGUUGAAAGAAGAGUUGCAGAAGCGCGAGCUGGACACCCGAGGCUUCAAAGCAGAUCUGAUAGAGGCUUGCAGGUGGCUUUGGAGGCUGAAGAGGAGGAGAGUUCCCUGAAGUCCCCCACAUGCAUUGAUGCUUCCAAGAAGCCAGAAACGGGUAGUAGACUUUGCAUGAAUGCUGAUAAACUAAUUUGAUGCAUUUGUUGACUAAUAUUGUUUCAAAUGCUCGCACUGAAGCAUUAAAAAUGAUCUCAUUUCAUCUUUACCCGUGACAGGUGUUUUCAGAGGCAGGGUGUGAUGAGCAGUCUGAUCCAGGGCAGAUGGCCGGUGAGAGAGAGCGCUCAGAAAUGGAAUUCACUAAAAGUGACAAUAAAUCAGAGACUGUGGAGAUGAUCUAUUGCCUCAUUGCAAUUCUUAAGCAGUUUUGGCCUUCGCCUCUGUGAAUCUAUGCUUUAAUCUAGAUCUGGGAACGUGGAGUAAUCCACGGUCCCCAGAUUUUAGGGAGCGAGUAGGCAUGUGGGGACGCAGCAAAUUUGAAAGAAUCUGGCUGCAGCAUUUUGGACUGAUUGAAGACAUUUGAGGGCAGAUUGAUUGAUUCCAAUGUAGAGGGAAGUGCAGUAGUCUAAACGAGAUGAGAUGAACUUAAGAAUUACUUUGAGUAUUACAGUAGUGAUUGAUAUGUUAGAACAUUGACUUUGCUUCACAAAACAUGAAGUGGAACCAGUGGAGAUGAAAAAUGAGGACGAGGUGGAAGUGGGGCAUCAAGAGCUGCAGCAUUGCAUACCAGUCAGUGAAUGGGAAGAACUGGAGAGCCAGCAGACUGCAGAGUGUAAGUCUGAUCAGGACAGUCAUGCACGUUAUGGUCGCAUGAGGCGCUAUGAUGAACGCCAUGGUUAUUGCUAUUAAGAACACUGAGAAGACGAGAUGAAUUUACAGCAGAUCUGUGCAAAGCUUUUUAUUUAAGCCAUAAAUCAGCAAUAAGAUUUUGAUGCAAUGAAAUAAGCUUUAUGCUCAAUAAAAUGUUUUUGAUUAUAGGGCUCAUUCGGCGCAGCCACCUGGUGAAGAUUAAGAGUAAGAGCAAAACUUUAAUGGCUCACUGGUGGCCAUUGACACUUGUAUGUGAGGGUUUGUUUUGUCAUUGUGAAAUUAAAUGGAAUCAUAUCUCUGAAAUGGUCAUAAUAGUGGAAUAUUCUCCAUAAACCUCAACAGAUAAUAGUGACUUGUGUUUUAAAGUCUCUCAAGACUGCUGUAGUGGCUACUCUUUGACCAUUAAAGGUUUUGCAUACAGGUGGUCCGGAGCACGAGCAACAUAUGGUGUAAGCAAGGGGCGUGUGUGCUAUGAAAUGAGGGUAAUUCUUGCUAGUUAUCUUAUAAAUCAGCUUAAAGGGAUCGUUCACCCAAAAAUGAAAGUUUUGUCAUCAUUUACUUACCCUCAUGUAAUUCCAAACUCAAACUUUACUUCCUCUGUGGGUCACAGAAAGGAGAUGUAAGGCAGAAAUUUCCAUAACAAAAAACACCACCAAAGUAGUCCAUACGACUUGUGUGCUAUAUUCCAAGUCUUCUGAGGUCAUACGAGAUCAAAUCUCAUUUGGCUUGCAUAUGUGUACAUUGAAAUAGAGUAUGAGGCACCAAGACGCAUCGCAUCAGGUUUAAAGUCAAACAGUAGAUGUCAUCAACAUCAAAUGGCAUUCGUUUUUGUGCCGUGACUGAUUGUCAUUGAUGUCAAUUCUGACACUAUGUAUUGGCAUGCCAAGUUUGCAAGAAUGAUGCGCAAGAAUUAAUGAGAUUUAAGAGCAACACUGUAGCAGAAAAUUUAUAAAAAAAUAAGUAUUUGAACUUCAGUCUGCUCCUCACACCAAGCUAUCAUUUGGCUUAUGGAGACUUAGAAUAUAGCAUACAGGUUGUAUGGACCACUUUUAUGGUGCUUUUUUUUUUGUCAUUUUUGAAGCUUGACAGCAUCUGUCCCCAUUCGUUUUCAUUGUAUGGUGCACAGUAUCUACCUUUUGCGUUCCAUGGGUUGGGGGGAUAAUACGGAAUGACAUAAGGGAGAGUAAAUGAUUAGAGGCAGACCGAUAUAUUGGUUUUACCGAUUAAUCUGUGCCGAUAGUUGCUUUUUGAACUAUCGGUUAUCAGCAAAACCUAUGCUGAUAGUUGCAGAUAGCUUUUUUAAAAAUUAUUAUUCCUCCACGUUAUUCUGUGGCCGGCGCUGGAGGAUUCUACAGUUAGAACAACUUGGUUCUACAGUAUAGGCUAACUGCGGCCUUUAGAGGGGAAAUAAAAACAAUCACUGAAUGAAAAUAUUCAUCCAU